rnacentral:lncRNA from 1 species
UAUAUUACAUUUGUAUUUACUAAAAAAGUUUGAUGUGAAUUCUAUUUUGUUACAAUAUUCAAAGGACAUUUGGACUAAAAAGGAAUCUUGGUGACGUUUAUGGAAAACUUAAGGGUAUGAUGACUAUUUCCCUUAACUUUAGAGGUGCAACUCUUUUAUUUUUUUAUUUUUUUUAAAAGCUGAAAAUUUGAGAAAUUUAUUAAAUAAAGGUCAAACACGUACUCAGGGGGACUUAUUAAGCAAUACCCCUUAAGGUGAAAUGUUAUGGGUAGUAACUUUUAUGGUCCUUGUCAUGUGGAAAGGUGGUAUGGCCUACUCGUUGAUGGUAGUACUUCUGCCUGGUCUUUGUCAUGUGGUAAUUUAGGUCGGCUGGCCAUUUUGCCUAUUCAUUUUUUUGUGGUAAAGUAGUGUGAGCUCGCUCAAUAAUACCAUAUGAAAGCUCAUGGAUCUAACUCAUAUUUAAAAGUUAGUUUAAAAGUUAAGAAUUGUCCCAAUCUUCUAUAUAACUAUUCAAAGCCGAUGUUGGAUAACAUUUUGAACACAUAUAGUAAAAUCUUGAUGCGUUAAUAGGCUUGAGACCAUGAAAAAUCAAUUAACUUAGUGAAGGUGAAUAUUAUUUGAUCAAAAAACUAAUAAAUAAGCAUACUAUGAAGAUAUUGCUUAUUAUGAAAAAUAUGAUUAUAUUUAUAACAUUGAUUUUAUCUUAAUUUUAUAUUUAUUAUGUUUUAGUUGAAUAAUAGUCAUUUGUUUUACAUUAGUAGUAAUAUAUUAUUGUAAAUUUUCUAUUUUUUCUAUAUUAAAAAUGAUAAUAGAACCCGUCUGGUGCAAAGAAGAGCUCAAGGCUCCCAUAUUAUUUUUAGUGUUAUGUAGCUAGCUGACUAUGUGAUAUUACAGAUUUGGUUUGGUCCACGAAGGCGCGAGGCUAUUCGCGGGUAAUAACAACAAAGAACCUAGACCUGUAAUUCCAAGUUGCCUUCGAAAUACAGCUGAUCUUCAUUAUUUGCUUGUUGAUGUCCUAGUCUUCAGAGCAAAUUAAUUAAUAAACUAUUUGCGUAGAGACAUGAUUGCUUGAUGUGCAUGGGAAUCAUCUUUGAGACCGAUAAAAAAGUAUUUGUAGAUGUGGGCAAAAUUUUCCACACAGCUGUAUUAAAUUAAAUAAUGCCAAAUACUAAUUUAGUUUUUACAUUUUGAAUUAAAGUCAAUUUAGUCCUUGUAUUUUGAACACUUCUGUUGUUAAAUAUAAGGGUGGCAAAAAUUCCCACGGGGACGGGUACCCUCGGGGAUUUUUCCCAUUCGGGGAGGAUAUGGAGAUAAUUUCAUACCCAAUUUCUUAUUCGGGGAAGGGACGGGGAAAUUUUUUUAUCCAAUUUCUUAUUCGGGGAGGGGACGGGGAUGAGGUGGAAUCCCC